CGAAAGUAAGACUUGGAGGUAUCAUUAUUUCCUCCCCUCACAAUGUAUGCCAACAGCAAAUGCCAUCAUGGAUGUAUAAUAAAUUAAGUAAACGACUCAUUAAUGUGAACAACAUCAAAUGAAUGAAGGUCGUAUUUACUAACAAAUAUCAGCAAACUUGGAACUGACAAUAUAGCGACAUGAAUAAUACUUUUUUGUCUGUAAUUUCUUUUAUAGCCCAGCUUAUUCUGAAGGGUUGAUGCGUCCACUUACUCAGUGACAUACGUUGUUUAAUGGUUUGACUCAUUACUGUGAAUGUGAAUGUUAUUCUUCAUUACUUGUGUCUCAAUACGUAUAAUUCACUAUGCUCAGGUGAAUGUGCACCUUUAGCAAUAUAUGACAAGUAGGAAGAGCCCCCCAAAACGAACAUCAAAUACUCAACUGGUUGAGCAAACAGUAAAGCCGAAUAAUUUGGAAGCAGGAUUAAUGAACGCCGGUCUCAUUGCUGUAAUCGUGACUGCGAGUACCCAUUUUUAUCUUUGUUAGGUCAAUCUCGGAAUUUUAACAUAUGGGGGUUCUAUUUCACCCUCCGCUUUUAAAUUUGUCAAUUUCUUACAAAAAGUAUCAAAAUCUGCAAAGCUUCUUUUGUGAGUUAACCCGCUCUUGGCAUGAGUUAUCACUAUGUACAAUCGAUAGCGAACAUAUUACUUCAUACGUUGCGGCUUGAAGAACUAGUACUGUUAUCACGAACACAAACACGCACGUACGCACAAAUUAUUAUGAAAAACUCCUUCUUACUGAUCAUAAGAGAGUUUAAGAUUGACUCAUUUGAGGGCAACAAUUCAUCAAUACCAAGCUGAGAUCAAAAAGUCAGUUAAAGGGUCCAAAGGGUUUUACAUAUUCACUGUAACAUUACCACAUUCAGCAAGGUCGUGAUCGUAAAAGAACAAAUGACGCCCAACAGUAAUCCAUACCGACCUCAUCCGCUUGUACUUCAUCUCCUGUUUAGUGACAGGUCGUAUAUUCGGGGCAUGUUUCAACUCUUCUCAGCUACAGGAUUCACCUUAAAAUAUUAGUCUACGUUUUACAGCUUUACCAAAUUAACUUUGAUGACUAAUCAAAACUGUCUGUUUUCUCUUAUAGCAUAUGAUGCCGUUACGUGCCGUAACUGGGACAAAUUCCGAAUGUAAUCCUCUUCAACAGCAAGGAACAAACGAAAACUAUUUUAUUAUGGAAAUGUACAGGAUAUUUGGACAACAGUAGUUAUGCUGCUGUUGUCGAUAAUUCACAAACCUUGUUUCUUAAUGAUCCAUUCAAAUGUCCAUACACUAAAGUUCACAUGAAUGCAUGUGUUUUUUUCUGUCAGUGUGUCUUGUUAGUUUGUUUAUAUCUACAACAACAUUUAGUUUGGAUGUUUUUGGCAUUAUUUUCAUGCUCGAAUAUGUAUUUGAAUGGGUGUUAUGUCACUGUUACAUUUUUCUAAAUCCCUAAUCCCUAAAUAAGAUAUUAUGUUUAUCUAACGACACCUCUCAUGACAAUCGUAGUGUCGCAGUAUCAUUUGUUCACCUCAAGAAUAAACAGCACAAAAAGUGAUUUCAAGGCGGAAGUGUUUGCUCAGCCAACAUGAAUACAGCAAUGUUAUGAAAUGUUACUCCAUAUAUCUCUCUCUCAAGAUUGUCAAAUCCACUGGACCUGAAACUAGUCAUGCAUGCUGACACACGUCAGGGUGAAAUACAAGUCAGUACCACGAUAGUGUUGCAGUGUUCACACGGGUAUAGAUGUAGUUCCUCAUACACAGAUUGCAUAACUAAACGACUAAACAUACAUUUGUAACUGACAAAAGUUGCACUAUGGGUUUGUUAAAUCACAUCUAUCAGCAUAAAUAAUGCCACUAUUUUCCUAAGGUAUUAGCAAUUAUUAAGUUUCAGCGGCGGGCAGGUGUCGCCUAGGCGAUUAGAAGCUGUAAUCCCAGGUGUUUAUGCAGAACAUCGAUCGAAACAUCGGUGUCUCGUUGUUUUCAUGCAAGUUUCAUUUGAAAACAUAUAAUACCUAAUAUACAAUAAGAAUAGACGAGAGGUUGUUCUCAUCAACGAAUGCUGUAUCACCACACCUUGGAGGUGAUGUCAGUCGCCGCCGAAUGAUACUUACGUUUAUGGCAUUGUACGUCUUGUUAACAGCGAUCCCAAUGUCUUUAUGUAAUCUAAAUCUUUGCUUAUGAACAUAUUGAACCCAUCUUAUGGCUUUGUACGACGACACAAGCAUGAAAGGUGUUAUACUCGAUGGGGUUCCUGAACAUGAAAUCCAAAUCUAAACAACUCCUCUCAAAUAUUGGUGGUUGAGCAGUAGAAGAAGUUCUACUGUGUUGCACCUAUUAUUUAGAUGGUCCAUAAAGCCACAAAGGUUCGGGUGGCAAACACUAUUCAGCAAAAAACUUUCAGUAUUAUACCAGCUACUGAAGAGUUAUUGAAUUUGACGAAUAACGCUAAAACAUUAUGUAUGUUAUUAAAACAUGUCAUCUAAAACAUUUGCUCUUUUUACAGAAUAACAAUACAACUUACAAAUGUAACAUAUAUACAUUGUAGACUAUGAUUCAAAU